rnacentral:tRNA from 2 species
GCGGGUAUGGUGGAAUUGGCAGACACGCAAGAUUUAGGAUCUUGUGGGAAACCGUGCAGGUUCAAGUCCUGUUACCCGCACCA